rnacentral:rRNA from 1 species
CGUUAGCGGCGGACGGGUGAGUAACACGUGGAUAACCUACCUAUAAGACUGGGAUAACUUCGGGAAACCGGAGCUAAUACCGGAUAAUAUAUUGAACCGCAUGGUUCAAUAGUGAAAGACGGUUUUGCUGUCACUUAUAGAUGGAUCCGCGCCGUAUUAGCUAGUUGGUAAGGUAACGGCUUACCAAGGCAACGAUACGUAGCCGACCUGAGAGGGUGAUCGGCCACACUGGAACUGAGACACGGUCCAG